GGCAAUAGAAUUGCUGUGGGAAUUAUGGCAACACACAGAAAGCACUAAAACAGUUGCUGACAAUGGUGAGCACCCUAAGGAGAAUUUUGAUCAGAGCCAUGUUGCUCACUGAGCAUGUGCAGGACACAUCCAUGGAAACCAACGACAGUGGGAAAAUGUCUCCUGCACAAAUAAAUGCACCUCGCUUGGGAAGGACGAGUCCCGAACAGGAAAUGAUCUCCAGUUGUUGAAAGGUUUCUCCUCUAGAAAAGAAGCCUGUGUGAACCACGGAGAUGCUGCUUACCGACAUAGUAGGGUGACGGAUCUCUACGGCACAAGCUGUAGAAAUGGCAGCCAUGGAAGCAGUCCACGCAGCUCUCCCUCCAAGGGAAGCAGCUCUGCGCAGAGAGUCCCUGGGAAGCCUCCAGCUUUUCACCUUGGAUCGAAUGCAGCUUUCAUUCUGAGAACUUGCUCUCCACGGGUUGCUUCUAGCCAGUGGCCAAGCACAGCAAGGAGAUGAGAGCUGGGCCAUCGUGGGACUCCUGUCAUGGGUGGUCUUUGCACGGGGGCUCCCUGUUGGCCUGGCUGAGAUGUUAUCAGAGUUUCUCUGCCAUUGAAACCUCCCCCUAUUCAGUUUUCCUCUCUUCCCUUUCCUUGCACAGCUGUCAGCUCUGCACAGGGGUCUGAAGGCUCUCCCUGCUCACUCCAGCUCCCUCUCUCCUGUACCCUUUAUAAACACUUCCCUUCUGCAUGUUUUAUUCUGGUUGGCAUCGACUUCCCAGAGGACCCAAAGUAGUACAGGAGGCCUCAGAAAAAAAGCAAAUAAAAAUCAUAAAUAAAUAAAUAAAUAA